AUUCUGUGAUGAGGGCACUUUCGUAAUAAUUCUUUGUAACUUUCCAUUGCCUCAGACAAUGACUCAUCAUCCAUUUGUUGGAAAGCAGUGAUCUCAUACAAUGACU
rfam:Gossypium raimondii chromosome 4, whole genome shotgun sequence.